GCCUUAGCCGCACCCUGGGGCGGGGCUUCCAGCUUUCGUCCGGCCUUCUCUGUCUUUGAGCGUGGGGGCCCCGGCUAGGCGCAGGUAUCUGAGGGUUCCCGGGGGCGGACACAAACUUGCUCGGGAGAGGUUGGCACCUAGGUGUCGCGGUUCCUAAGCCCACCAAAGGGACUGAGUCUCAGAGCGUAACGUCAGACCCAGUUUGCCUUCUGGGGAAAGCUGGCCCAAGUGAGUCACCCAAUCCAUCCAUCGUGCCCGAGGGAUUACUACCAGAGUGGAGAAGUGUCAGGGCCAGGACCUGGAAGUUUCAUCUCUCCGGUACUCUAGCCCACGAGAAGUCAGGUUGGUCUAACCGACCUAAACCUUGGACAGGUACUUGGUGCCUUCAUAGUCUUCUUUGAAAGGCAGAUAGAAGUGCAAUAAUUGCUUGGCUUUCACACCGUCUUUGGACAAGGCUCUCCAUAACAGGAAAGAUCUGCUCGUGUUGUCUGAGCUCAGGACCCAAAUCAGCUACUUUGAGGAGAGAACUUGACCAUUCCCCCUCAGAAUUCUUCCAUUCAUGUCUCUCUAAGGGAGGAGUGACUUAUGUAAUUGGCAGACGGUGAGGGAAGAUGGCGUCUUUCCCAUUUAUAUCUAGUCCCUGCACUCGUCUUCCGGAUUCCUGGCUGCACCCUCUCAGGAACACCGUGCUGUAGAUUAUGACCUCGCUUUCUCCCACUUGAAACCACUCUUCUUUUGCUGUUGUAACAGUAGCAUUAAAAUAUAAACAAAAAUCAUCUAUGCUAAGAAAACAGUCUCUACUGGAUCCUAUUGUUAACCUUACUGUCCCCCAUGCAUACCUAGUGUCUCAAAAGAGAGCUAGGUAAGAGAGCACCAAACCCUGGGCCAUGAAUUAGUAUCAGAUAUCAGGAGAUUUUUUUUUUUUUUUGAUUCUUUUUUUCGGAGCUGGGGACCGAACCCAGGGCCUUGCGCUUCCUAGGUAAGUGCUCUAUCACUGAGCUAAAUCCCCAGCCCCAUAUCAGGAGAUUUUUAUAUGUCCCUUGUAAGAGGAGAAACAGAUAAACUACUACUGUCCAUGUCUACCCACACAUCAUAGUACAGGUCAGUAUGUCAGAUUAAGAAUACCAACCAUCUUCUCGCAAGGAUGAAGGCUUUAUUGUUAUAGUAUUCUUAUUUGUUUUUGAAAUAAAGGGGUGAUAUUGCUAGGUAGAACUAAAAAUAUUUUCACUUAAAAAAAUAAAUGCUUGCCGACCUGUCAAGAUAAUACAAAAUCAUUUUGCAUUUACUUUUGCUUGUAUAAGUUAAAAGUGUGGAAUCAACAUUGUAGCUAUUUUCUCACCUCUGGCCCACCCAUCAACACUUCCUUAUUUGGGUACCAAACUGAUUACUUUACCUAGAAAUACUGUCACUAGGGUACCCCAUGAGCUCCGCAGCACAGAAGACCAUUUUCACUUUAGAAGGUCUUCUAGUAUUUAAGGCCAAGUGAGCUGUGCCCUCUUCCUUCAGCCCUUUUAUGACUUUUGAUGUUCUGCUGCUUUCUGUGUCAUUCUUUGACCUCAUUUCCAUGAUAGGCUACACAUCAGGUUACAAACCCGAGGCAUCUAUUCUGUCUACAUGUCUUACUAUGUCCUCCAAGCUGAUCUCAUCCCCUCCCAUAUCUUCUGUGUCUCCAUUCUGCUCUCUCCAAAUGCUAUUUCAUAUAUAAUUUAUGACAAGACAAAACUGCAUUCGUCAGUUUCCUCCCACUUUCCAAAUUUUCUUUUACCAAGUCAAGUGCUAAUGCUGGGAAUUUAGGAGUUGCCCUGACCUGUCUUUUCUUGAUCUCUUGCAUUUAAUCAUAAGGACUAAGUACUUGGUCAUAUUUAAACAAUCCCAUCACUUCUCAUUGCUAAUACUGUAGUCCAGGCUGCCCUAAUUCUGGCCUUUACCACUAUGAUAAAUUCCUAUUAGAACUUUCCUCUUCAAAAUAUACCCUGAAAUGCAAGCAGACAACAAGAUUAGGCGCAUUCAUGGUAGAAUGCCAUAGACUCUAAAAUGUCAACAGAAUAAGCUUUCUUCUUGUGUUUGCUUCUUUGUUGAGACAGGGUCUCACUGUUCAGUCCUGACUGAUCUCCAACUCUAUGAAGACUAGACUGACUUGGAACUUAGAGAAGUCUGCCUGUCUUGGUCUCCCAAGUGCUAGAAUUUUCCUGAGUGUGCAUUGCCUCACCCUGUCAAGAUAAUCUUUUAAAAAUGAAAAUGUGAUAUUACUGCCUGAUGUUCAAGUCUUCCCAGUAACUGCACAGUCAAGUCCAGAAUUUCAACAUGUCUGGCAAGACACAUAUCAGAAGCUCUGGCUUCCUUUCUUUUGACUGUUCCUGACUCAUUCUCUCAGUCAAAAAACAGUUCAUCUAAGAACACUAUUCCAUCCUAUCUCAGUGUUCUGAAUACCCACAAGGUUUCUAUAGUGGCCUAUUUCCCCCAUGCCAGUCAUUAUGUGUGUGAUUUCUACUCAUCCUCAGAGUACAUCUGAACAAAUGUCCUCGUGGAGCCCUUCCCUGACCUACAUCUCUCUUCCACAUUUGCUCCUCUGCUAGUCGGUUCUCAAAUAUCCUGUACUUUUCCUCACUUUGCACACUUUAAUUAUUGAAUGAUCAUUUAAUUGUUUGACGGUUGCAUCAAUCUGCAACAUCGAGCAGAAUGCCUGACAUAGUGAAGAUGCAUAAUAGCCUACAUCACGAUCACUUGACUGACGACUGGCAGAGCUGAAGAAACGAAACUGUCCAAACGAGAAGGUUUCCCGGGCCAAUGCAGUCAAACACGGACCUGGCUCCUAUGUACCUGUCCUCUUCUCUCUCUUCAGCAUCGCUCGCUUCGUCUCUUACUUUCUGUGGCUCAUUUUCUUUACAGAGGCAGGCACGGUAACGACAGUGUUCAGCCCAUAUUUGGAAACUUCGAUUUGUGUUGGACCUUGGAAAAACUACAGAUUGUGCAUAAUGCCUUGAGGAUCCGAUUUUUUAUCUCAGAAUAUGGCUUUUGAAUUUUUUCUCUGUUCCCUAGGCUCUAAGACCAAAUUUUAGGGUUCGUUUUUUGAUUUCUAAUAAACACACACACCUGACCAAAUCAACCACUAUUGUAUAUGUCACUUGAUCAGAAUCAUGUCAGAAAAGACAAAAACCACCCUUAGACACUGAUGGUGAGAGUCUGUCUUAAACACAAAGAUCUCAAAAAGGGAAAUAAGUGAAUCCUGAAAUACUCUCAUAGUUAACCAAAAGGAUGUUUUCUACUUCAAGAGUGGAUGAAGGUUCCCACUGUUGGUGUUCUUAUUAAUGCUGUUAAAUGGGCUUUUCCUUCUCAUCAGGUUGAUUGCUAGAGAUGCUAUCAUGAUAGUUUUGUUUGUGAUUCUGGGAUUACAAAUGUGGGCCACUAAACUCUGCUCUCCUGGGCUCUUAUGGGUCAGUUGUGUUCAGUCCUAUCAAAAGGGCACCUUGAGUAGCCUGCGAUCAUUACCUUGAAGAAAUGAGCCACCAUAUAAGCUAGAGUUUUCUCCAGUUUUUUGUCUAUUCUUUUAAAAAAAAUGAGCUUUUUGAAAACUUCUUGAUUGCCAUUCUCUGUGUCAUAAAGUCCUAAGUGUUCCUUACCCACUGACAUGUUAUGGUUUGUGUAUGACUCCCCAAGGGCUCAUGUGUUGGGGAUUUUAAAUUUAUGACAGUGUUCAGAGGUGAAAGAACAUUUAACGGAUGGUUAUUAGGUCAGUAGGUCAUCAGGGGUCAGAGGGAUUAACAUGGACGUCAUGGUAUGCCAGUCUCUCUGGUUUCUGGAAUAGCAGUGCGGUCUCUCCUCUUUUCACACACUCUUAACCCCGUAACGCCAUUCACAUGUCCAUCAUCAGAGCCAAGGGUCUUCAAACCUCCCAGAACUAAAAGCUAAAGAGACUCCCUUCAAAGUACCCAGCAGUAGGUAGUUCAUUGUAAUAACAGAAAACUGAUUAGUAACAAUGUAUCAAAAAUAUAUUUCCACAGGGUACAUCCUAUGUUAUCUUCUCUAAUUUAGCUUAUAUUUAAGAAAAAUUCUUAAAAUAUUUUAUAUAUAUACAGAAAGGUUCAUAUAUAAUUGUUGUACACAACUUGGUAAGUUCGAAGAUAACUCAUAAAAUAAUUACUAUUACUACAAAAUAAGCCUAUUCCUAACUCCCAGGUUUCUUCCUAAAAUUUUGUGUAUGUGUUAAAAAUAAUUAAAGUUUUGACUGUUCAUGUCUGAAAGAACUGCAGGGAUGGAAAUGGAGAAGAGCCUGUGGAAAAGAAGGUCCAGUGACAGACCCACACCCUAACCCAGAAGCUAUGUUCAGCUGAUAACUACUCACGAAUGAAAGAAUUGGUUCUCUCCAAGGGAGUCUCAUUGGGUAUAAAUCUACUCUUAAGGGUAGGCUCCAUGCACAGUAGUAGACGGCCAACACAACAAACUCAAUGGCAUUCAGAGCUUUGAUUUUUUUUUUAGACAGGUCCUUUGCAUAUCUUAUUUAUUUUUAAAUUAUGUGUAUAUAAGUCUAGGUCUGUGCACCUGAGUAUAGUUCUUGCAGGGACCAGUGGAGGACAUCGAAUCCACCGCAGCUGGAGUGACAGGCAGUUUGUAAGCUGCCUGACGUGGAUGUUAGGAAUGGAACUGGGUUCCUUUGCAAGGGCAAAUGCUUUUAACCCCCGAGCCACCGCUGCAGCCACUCCUGCUAGUAACUUACAGACAAGACUGUGGCCAACUUAAAAGACCAGUGUUUAUAACCCCAAUCUCACAAAGGCUUUUGGAGUCUUAAGUGCAAAAAAGGUGGGUGGGAGGGGGCUGAUAGCUAUGCCUACAAGUGCUAUGAUUUCCAAAACUGAGUUGUCUCUAACUGCACAUCGUUGAUGGACAUCAUUACUUUGUUGAAUAAACAUAUAAAAAGAAAGCAGAUUGUGUUUACAGUUUUCUAUGAUGCUAUGAGUCCCUUUGGGCUCUGGAUCAUUAUGGCUCAGGAGUUUAAUGAGGUUAGUAAUCUUGGCGUGACCUCCUCAAGGACCACAAAGUCCCGACCUUGACGAGAAGCACGCCCACGCGUCCUGUGGCAGCUGUGGUGUGGGAACUGUCCUUCCGACUGAGGCGGGAAGGGAAAGUGGUGGGCACUCCACUUUUGCUGCAACAGCUCUAGAUGGAGCAGCCUCGGUGGUUGUGGCCAUUGGGUUUACUUCUUUCCUGAUUUGGGCGGCUCUUGCUUGGUUUGCUUAAUUGUUUCAGGCAAGCCUUCUAGUGUUACACCGAGUUAAAGUGGUGAGAGUACGUCUUCUGGGGCUGUCUAGUAUGCUGUUCCAGGAGGGCCCAUUAUACAUGGCCUGUGGGGGGAGUUUGUUUGCUGAACAUUUUCAUCACAAAAAGGUGCUUGUAAAAAAAUUUUAAAAGUUGGAGGAUGGUAUAAUCUUUAUUCAUGUUACUGCUUUUUGAUAUAGAUAUGCAUUAAUUGGUUUGCAUGUUAAACCAUUCUUCUGUCUCAUGCAUAAAUCCUACUUAUUAUGUCUACUUCUUUUUAACACAUGUUGAAUUUGGUUGUCUAUUAUUUUGUUCAGUUUUGUAUCUCGGCAGUUUUUUGUCUCUUUGUCCAGUUUUUAAGUGAGUGAUACUGCCUAAUACGUUUGGAAGUGCUAUUUUAUUUAAUUCUUUAGAUAAAUUGCUGUACUUACGAUCAUUUGUGUUUUUGUGUGGGGAUGCAUGUUACGUGUUCUAGUACAUGUCUCGUGUGUGUGUAGAAACCAUGGGGGAACCUUGAGUGUCAUUCCUCAGAUACUAUUUUGAGACGGCCUUUCCCAUCGGCCUGGUACCCAAGAAGUAGGCCAGGAUGCUGGACCCUAGGGAUCUGCCUGAGACCAUGCAGGAUGCCCAACUGUUCUCAGAUGGGUUCUGGGAGACACUUAUGCUUAUAAAGCAAGUGCUUCACCAGAUUCGUUUCCAUACAGUAUUUAAGUGAUAAUAUCCUUCUAUAAAUGAAGCAUUACUAUUCUUUUCUAUAUAAGCCAUUUUACUUACCUUUAUUAUUAUUUUAAAAGGUUCCUUUUUUCCCCAUCUCUAACCUGACUUCUGAGAUCAUUUUCUUUCUGCCUAGGCUUUAUUUAUUAUUUCUUUGUCUUUCCUCUUUUCUCCUUGGUAUAUUGGAUAGGGUAUUACUACGAAAUUGCAGCUGAUCUGGAACUCAUGAUGUAACUCUGGCUCUGGUCCUCUGCUCCAGUCUUUAUGACUUUUCCCAAACCCCAGUAUACUCCUCAGCCCAUAAUUUUAACUGACUGAUACUUAAUUUUCCUUUUUACAUCUUUUCUUUUUUUUCUUGCUUUAACUCUCUUUUAAUCUUGAAGUAACUAAGGAAAUGACAUCUUGUCCCAACAUUAUUUUGUGCCUGCCUGAUCACUUCUCAGCUUUCAUCCCCAAUGCCACAGUCACUUUGUAACACUUCUGGGACUGUCCAUGAUCUUGACCAUGGUCCACACAUAUUACGGAGAGUCUGGAAGAUACCACUGAACCUUGCAAAGAAAGCAGAGGUUACUAGACAACUCUAGAUCCUCACUGGAUCCUAUUCCCAGCAUGGUUCGUCCUUGAAACCAUUGUACCCCUGAGCUUUGGCACAGAGAGACUUUCCGGAGCCUACUCUGAUCUGGACAUUAAUAAAGGACUGGGAGAAUUUAGUUGUUUUAACCAGCAGCUGUCAGUGACUCUCUCACACGGACCAUUGCAGUCUUUUCCUGGGAAAUGGGAAGCAGUCUUCUAAAGUGGCAAUUGUUUUCUCUCAGCCUACAGAAGACACUCUUUUGCUGUCCUUUACAUUCAUGGCUCUUGGCAAAAGUCCAGCAGCCAUCUAAACUGCUAAAUUUCCAAUUAUUUUCAUUUUCUGGCUUUUUAAAGAAAACGUUCAAAUAAAUAGUUUCCCCAUAAUGUAUAUAUGUGAUGUUCGUGUUUGGAUUUCUCUAGUAUGCCAAGAUUUGUGUUUUGAGAAAUUCUCGUUUGCUGUUUCUUUUCUAUUAUCUCAUACUUUAACAGGAUAGAUAUUAGCAUCCUCACUAUGUUCUCCAUGCUUCUUUCACUUAGAAUUAAUCACAUGACCUCCCACUGAGUCAGACAGAUUCUUAGCUUAAGCCAGGAAAGUGUAAAUGUUCUUUCUUUCUCUUUGUUUCUGUUGACAAUGUGUCACAGUGUUCCUCAGGCUCCUGUUGUAGAUUUGUGACCUUCUCUGCAGCCUCUUAGGCACUGGGCACCGGUUUAGCAUAUGCCAGCCUGCCUGGCUCUUUCACAUGAUUGAAUUGUGAAUGGAUUCAUGUGGAGCUUUAUGUCCUACCCACGGUUUCCCAGAAAUGCAGCCAUUAUACGCAUAGAUUCUCUUUAGAAAUAUCUCUGAUUUUUUUUCAAAGUUUCAGGUGUCCUAGAUUUGGUUGAGAUUUUCAGGGGUUUUCUCACUUAGUAUUCAGUCAUCCCUAAGGAUUCCUGUUAUCUUUCUGUGUUCUAUACGUUCUAUGCUUUAGGUCUAGAUAUAUUUAAUCACUUAAUCCAAAUAGACAAGUUGUUCUAAUAAGAAGGGUGUCUUAAUUGGAGUUAUUAUUGCUGUGAUGAAACACCAGGACCAAAAUCAACCUGGGGAGGAAAAGAUUCAUUUGGUUUGUACGUUCAUAUCACUGUUCACUACUGAAGGAAGUCAGAACAGGAAUUCAAACAGGGCAGGAACUUGGAGGCAGGAACAGAUGCAGAGUCCAUGAAGGAGGGCUGCUUAAUGGCUUACUCAGCCUGCUUCCUUAUACAAGCCCGGGCCACUGCUCCAGGGGUGGCACCACUCACAAGGUGCUGCCUCCUCUAACCCCCAUCAAUCACUAAUUAAGAAAAAGCCUCACAGCCCAAUCUCAUAGAGACAUUUUUCUCAAUUGAGGUGCCUUCCUUUCCAGGGACUUGUAUCAAAUUGACAUAAGUCUAGCUAGCACAGAGUGCUAUACAUGAUAUGAAUGAAAUCUACCAUAUUGCUGGGAAUGGAAGGAAGACCUGGUUGUGAAAACUUCCUUAUCUCCGGAGUUUGAUUUGACAUGAGAAUCCCAGAAAAGAAAAUGUCACUGCAUUUAGUAUUAGUGUAUGACACUAAGUAAUGAAACAGAGAGUCUCCAAGUAUGAGUCCUCUCAGCUCCUGAGUACAGUUGCAGAGGGGUAGGGCAGACCACAGAAGGAAGAAUAAAUAUGCUCUUAGACCGCUGAUGCCAGCAACACGGAAAACAGGCAGGAAGAACAACCCAUUCUCAAGAGUUCAAAGCUAGACCAGAGAACAAAUAGAACAUUAUCAAUUUCCCCUCAAAAAUACUUUGGAAAACCAUUCCUCUACAUGCCCUCUACAUAAUGCCCCUUCUGAUUUUUCUUCUAGUGUUGAGUUCAAUUUUCAUUCCUUUGUACCCAAAGUUGGGGAAUCAUGUAGGAUUCCCAACACUGAUUUUGAAACACCUUACUGUCCUGUCUGUCAGGACGGAUUCCACACACACCCAUCCCCACAGCAUCUCUGCUGUGCCUUCAGCAGCAUCCCACACCACCCCGAGACCUAAUUUAUCCUCACCAGCUCACGUCUUCGGUUUAACACUUAGAUGCUGUAAGCCAGGCAUGGUGGCACGUGACUGCACCCCCAGUACUUGGGAAGUAGAAGCAGGAAGAUCAGGAAUUCAAGACCAAACUCAGCUACAUAGCAAGUUUGAGUUCAGCCUGAGUUAUUUGAGGCCUUGUCCAGACCCUAAAGGGUUAAAAAUAAAAACAAUCUUAAUACGUUAUGAAACACUUGAUGGUUUGGUUUUGUUUGAGAUAAGCGUCUUAUAUAAACCAGGCUGAACUCUGACCCUUCUGGCUCAACCGCUCACGGGCUGGGAUUAUAGGUAUGUACCAUGGUACCUGGCAAGUUAUUAGUUCUUUUUAACAUAAGGUUUCAGAGUACAUACAGUAUUAUUUUCAAUAGAAAUAGUUUAUAUUACAAACAUAUUUCCUCUAAGAAAUAAGUUUUUACACGCCAUUUGAAAAAUGUAGGCACUGGUCCUCAGGUCACUGUUAUCUUAUUUGUGAUAAGGGUUACUUCACUGCUAAACCAGGACAGUACUUCAUCAGGAAUUUCUGUACUGCUUUAAACAGAAGCCCUCACAAUAACCUGAGAUGUGAAGUGUAAACGGAACCACUUAGAUGCCUUUAUCCCACACUAUCAGCAGGGGCUGAAUCGUGGCCCUUGGGCAUGACAGGCUAGUGCUCUCUGACACUUGAUUUACCCUGUGCCGCUCUCCAGACUGACUUGGGAUUCUGGCAGCCCCGAUAUAGGUAACCAGGCACAUCAUAUCGUCACUUGUUGCCGACACUCACUGGUCUAUUUACUUUCUAAUACAAUAUAAACUUUUAUCUUCUCAGAACCUGUAAUUAGGUCUACGUAUCGUACUAAGGGCAGAGAAAUGGAGGAUACAAGGCUGUAAAAGGAACACACUGUAUACGGAGGUGCAGACAGAUGGAAUGUUUAUUCCAGGAAAAAUCAGUCGGCAGGCAUAAUCUUGAAUACCAAGCAAGUGUUUGAAAUCAGGGUCUGUCUUUUGAUGGUAAUGGCUUUCAAAAUGGUUUUCCUUUUUUAAAAUUAACUUUUAGGUUAGCACAUGAAUCAGUUUCACCAUGACAUUUUCAUACAUAUUAUUGUGCUCUGCACACCCCCCACUAGUUUCCACUUUCUGCUUUCCUAUUACAAGUACCCCAUUAAUUUUCCACUUCCUUAUGGUAUCUUCCCAUUUCCUGGUCAUCUUUGUCUCAAGACUUCCCCCUUCAAACACAUAGACUCUACAUUUAAACCCAGCAUUAUAAAACAGGUAGUAUUUGUGCUAAAAUGGCUCAUUUUAAAACUUCACAUGAUGUCCAGCUGGAUCCAUUUUCUUGCAAAUGUUAUGACUUCACUUUCUUGUACGGCUGUUUAAAAUUCCAUAGUGUUUUUGCACCACAGUUUAUCUCCUGAUCGGCUGACGAGUACACAGGCUGGUUGUUUCCUGACUAUUGUGAAUAAUGAAGCACUGAGCAUGGGUGGGUGUGAAGGUAUCUGUUUCCAUGGCGGGUUGCUUAGCUGCUGCUGGUGUGUGUGUGUGUGUGUGUGUGUGUGUGUGUGUGUGUGUGUGUACAUAUGUAUGUAUAUACUAAGUGGUAUAGCUAAGUCAUAGUAGUUGUACUUUCAGUUUCUUGAAGAACUGCCAUACUAGUUUUUAAAAAGGUUUAUUAUUCCUUUCUUUUUAGAUGGGGUUCCUCUCUAUAGCCCUGGCUGUCCUGGAACUUGAUGGCAUAGAACUCAAGAGAUCCACCAGCCUCCGCCUUUGCUGGCAGUGUGCCACCAUACCCAGCGUGGUUUAUUUUUAUUUGUAUGGGUGUUUUGCUUGCAUGCCUGUCUGUACUUUAGGUGUGCCAGAGGCCAGGUGUCUGAUCUUCUGGAACUGGAGUUAGAUAUUGUCCUUUGCCAACAAGUAGCUGCUGGAGAUUAAACCCCAGUCCUGUGCAAGGUCAACAAGAAUAUUCAACCACUAAUCCCUCCAACGCCUCCAUGACUUUUGACCAUGGUUGCCAUCAGUCUGCGUUCCCGUCAUCAGUGUAUUCAGUCGUGUGUUGCAGCACUGCUUCUAAGGAUAAAAGCCAGGAAACAAUCGACUCUUGGAUUUGUAAGAGACUGAGGAUAUACAAGGGCAGGAAUCUCCAAGAUGAAUAAUAAAGGAAAGCAGAAAAGGAGUUUAUAUAAGAGACAUUUACAUAUGAUAAAAGAAGCAAGCCAGCAACGGUAAAAUCACACCAAAACUACGAAGGGGAAGGGAAGGGUCAAGGCAGGGACGGGAAUGGCUGAGCACUGCAGGCAGGAGAGGAGAGCCUUUGAGGUCUUCACCUGAGAGCCCUCAAGCUUUGGGAGCAAAUUAUCUAUCUUAAAAAUUAGGUAUUAGGACAACAGCAGAGUAGCUUUGAUGCAAUCAUUUCUCAAUUACACUGUACAAAUAAGACAUCACUGGAUUAAUGAUUAAAAGGAAAGCACAUCUGGAUCAGCACAGAAGGUGACAGCCACAGUGGCUAUUCCAGGUGUCCCAGACAUCACCUAUGUCUGUAGGAGGCUUUUACCUUUAUCAUUUCUUCUUCUCCUGCUGUUUUAUUCUUUGCUUCUAUAUCGCCUGCUUCAUUACAUCUAAUAAAGCAGCUAUUUGAGGCCAGUAAAGCCAUCUUCCCCUAAAUAAAACAAAGGAAAAAAAAUCAAGCUAUGAACACUUGCAGAAAUCUUAAGUCAUUUUGCUAAUGUAAAAUUUUCUCCCCAAUUCUAAGAUAAAAAAACUUUUUAGACAAAGCCAGGAAAACAUAAAAACAUAGAAAGGGGGAACCAAAACCACCCCAAAUAAGUCUUAACAAUUUCCAACCAUCACCACGACAAACGCUGAGUGCUGUCUGCAGGGCUGGAGGCUGCAGCUCAGAGGCAGAGCAUCACACCGCUGGCUCCCUUCCUCCAGCCGAACAGCAUUCUGACUACACAGAAUAACUCCUUUAACACCUGUCUCUAAAGACACAGCUCAUUAGAUAAGCUAAAGAUUGUCUUCAAAGAAAAUAAAACUUAGCAAUAAUAUAUAAUAAUUUAUUGAAACACUAGUAUUUUGAGUGGAAUUUACUUUUCUCCAUAAUUAAAGCAUUAAAAAGCUAGCUUUUGGCCUAGAGUGGAUUUUGUAUAGAAUGACAUAUUCUUUUGGGGUGGCGUGGGGGUGUAGUGUUUAUGAUUAUACUGGUUCAUAUUAAAUAAAUCCUCCCAAAUUAAUUUUCUUGUGGCUUUGAAUGUGAAUUAUAAAUUCUCUUAAUGUCUAUAUUGUGGUUUAGCUAAAAUUUUAAUUUGGAUGAUUUUUCUGGAAAACUCUGAAUAUUAUCAGAAAAAAAAUCACAAUACAAUAAUUACAGAAUAAUCUUGAAAUAGACAAUUAGAAUCGUGUGAGUCAUAUGGAUUUUGUUUAGUGUCUUAUUUAAGGUGGCAGGGACUCCACUGUAUACAGCCACGUGCUCCAGAAUCCACCUGCAGAUCACUCUGCUUCUGCAAUUUAAACUGUUACAUCAGAGAGCUUACGUCUUUCCUUGAAAUUGUAAGAAUGGAAAGUGUCUUCUGAAAAGUAAAAUGAAAUUAAACGUCUUGUACUUUGUCAUCCUGA